CUACGGGUCGCAGCAGUGAGGAAUAUUGCACAAUGGGGGGAACCCUGAUGCAGCAACGCCGCGUGGAGGAUGACGCAUUUCGGCGUGUAAACUCCUUUUAUAUGUCAAGAAAAUGACGGUAGCAUAUGAAUAAGCACCGGCUAACUCCGUGCCAGCAGCCGCGGUAAUACGGAGGGUGCAAGCGUUACUCGGAAUCACUGGGCGUAAAGGACGCGUAGGCGGGUUGGAAAGUCAGGUGUGAAAUCCUACAGCUUAACUGUAGAACUGCACUUGAAACUUCUAAUCUAGCGUAUGGGAGGGGGAGAUGGAAUUAGCGGUGUAGGGGUAAAAUCCGUAGAUAUCACUAGGAAUACCUAAAGCGAAGGCGAUCUCCUGGAACAUUACUGACGCUAAGGCGUGAAAGCGUGGGGAGCAAACAGGAUUAGAUACCCCAGUAGUC
rnacentral:rRNA from 1 species